UUGCCCCUUAUUAUAAAGUCUAGAAUAAAAUUCAUAAAGUUAAAAGAAUUGGAAAAUUCACCUCAAAUAUCAGAAUUUAUGCAGUCCUUCCUUUAAGAAUCUUAAGAUUCAGCAACCAUCUUACAGAGAAGAAGUGAAACCAAGUUUUAAACGCAUUAACUCCCUCAUAACACUCAUCAAAAUUUAUCAAAACUCAUUUCUCUUGCAAAAUAAAGUUUCAAACUUCCUAAUUGAACAUCAGUUGGCCCCCUGAUAAUUGGUUAGCCACAGAAUAAAUUUCAGCCAUAUUAUUGACUAAGAUGUGAGGAAGAGAUACAUACACACAUAUGCGAAAAGGAUGCAGUACAGAGCUGCCAUGAUUGGCAAGGGUAUGGAUGCGAGAAGAGCCCCAAAUUUUCCUGUUAGGGAUGAAUCAAGACACCAUUAGAGCAACCAAUGAGCCAACAAAAUUAUUUACAUUUUCCCAAGGUCCUAAUUGCAACAUUGUUUAAGCAGAAAUUUGAAAGAAAACCAAAGCUCAAUAGAGAAUUAUCAAUGAUCCGUUAAGACAAGACAAAAAUAGAAUGUAGAACAUAACAUGGAAUAGUGCAACUAACACAG
rnacentral:misc_RNA from 1 species